rfam:Prosthecochloris sp. GSB1, complete genome.
AGGCAUCCCCAUUACCUAUGGACACGGUGCCGCAAGCCUUGCGAAACGCUCGUUUCGUGACGGCCUGCAAUCAGGGUUUUCCGUGUCCGU